UCCUGGCUGUAAAGGAUGCGGGCUAGGUGUCGGGUGAGCUUCGAGCUCGCCCGGUGCCGAAGGGAAGCCGUUAAGCCCGCCGCCUGGGGAGUACGGCCGCAAGGCUGAAACUUAAAGGAAUUGGCGGGGGAGCACUACAAGGGGUGGAGCGUGCGGUUUAAUUGGAUUCAACGCCGGGAACCUCACCGGGGGCGACGGCAGGAUGAAGGCCAGGCUGAAGGUCUUGCCGGACA
rnacentral:rRNA from 1 species